GCAGUUACAAAAAAACACCCACUUGAGGACUCCAACAGAUUCCUGCUUCCCAUUCUGACCUAGCUUGAGAUACAGUUGUAUCUCCUGCCACUCAACUUAUCAGAAUUUAUGACUUAAUCAAUAAUAAUAUUCCUAAUGGGAGUCAGAACUCUAGUACUCAAAAGACCACACAUCAUGGAAUUACAAAAUUUGAGAAUUAGAAGAAAUUUCACUGGUCAUCUAAUCCAACUGAUAUUCCAGAGAAAUCUUCUUAUAUUACUGUUUAAAGGCCUCUAAGAAGGAGGAAACUACUACCUCUCAAUAGACAAAUUAAAACAUUAAUUAAGCACUUCCUGUGUUGCCAAGCACAGUGCUGAAUCCAGAAAAUCAUUUCACUCUUGGACAGCUCUAAUUAUUAAGACAUUUUUCAUGACAUAGAGCCUAAAUUUGCUGCUACAACUUCCAUCCACUGCCUCUUGUUCUGCCUUCUUGGGGCAAGGAGAAGAACUCUAAUUUGUCCUCCACAUCACAGCUAAGAUACUUGAGCAUAGCCAAAAUGUCUUGGCCUAAGUCUUCUUUUCUUCAAGUUAAAGAUGUUCUUUCUACUAAUGCUUAUAUGACAUGAACUAAAAAUCCUUUACUAUCCUAGUUGUUCUCCUCUAGUUUUAUCAAUGUCCUUCAAUCAAAUUAAUCAACUGACAAGUAUUUAUGGAGAAUCAACUAUAUGCUAGGUGCUCUGGGACACAGAGACAAAAAUGAUACUGUUGAGGGCAGCUAGGUAGCUCAGUGGAUUGAGAGCCAGGCCUAGAGACAGGAGGUCCUAGGUUCAAAUCUGGCCUCAGACACAUCCCAGCUGUGUGGCCCUAGGCAAGUCACUUAACCCUCAUUGCCUAGCCCGUAGGACUUUUCUGCCUUGGUUGACUCCAAGACAGAAGGUAAGGGUUUAAAAAAAAUGAUACUGUCUCUUAAGGGAUUUACAUAUUAUUUGAGGAGACAAUAUACAAUAUGUACAUAAUAAAUGCAAACAACACACAAAAUAAAUACCAACUAAAUUGGAGGGGAAGGAAACUAACAGUUGGAUAAUUCAGAAAGGUUUCAUGUAGGCAUCAAGAGCAGAUUUGAAUAAAACAAUGGUUUACAAGAGAUAGAAAUGUAUUCUAGGAUUAGAAGAUAGCUAGUAUAAAAAGUGUGGAGGUGGAGUAAUGUGAGAAACAGUAAGGAGUCCAAUUAGAUCCAACUGAAUAUGGGAAGUGUAUAAUGCAAAAUAAAAUUGCAAAGAUAGGUUGGAAUUGAGUUGUAAAGGGUUUUAAAAAUUAAGACCAGAUUAUACUUGAAUCUACAGGCAAUAGGGAGCCAUUGGAGUUUGAAUAGAGAAAUGUGGUCAAGACUUGUUCUUUCAAAAAUCACUUUGUAAUCUAUGAGGAGAAUGGAUUAGAAAGGGGAGGGACAUGAGUCAGAGAGAACAGUUGGGAAGUCAUUAAGAAAUACCACUAUCUUUUUCUCCAUUUACUCAUUUAUUUUCAUAUUAAUAUUAAAAAAUCUGAUUUCCAAAUUCUCUUUUUCCUAACCCUGUUCUAUCCCAUUGAGAAGGAAAGCAACAUAAAAAAAUUAAAAGCAAGAAAGAUAAGUAAAAAAAGGAUGCUUCAAUUUUCACUUAGAGUUUCAUCAAUUCUCUCUUUGAGGCUGGAUAGCAUUUUCCAUUAUGUUGUUGUUCAGUUGUUCAAUUGUGUUGCACUCUACAUGACCCCAUAAACCAAGUAUCUAUAAUGUAAAGAUUAAAUUUAAGUAUCCCUGAUUGUGAAAAUUAAAUUAAUUCCUCUGCCCAUUUUUUAGAUUUUAUCACCAAAAGUGUGAACACCCUACUUAAAGAUGAGUGGGGAGAUGUGCUCAUUUUUAGAUGUAAUCACCAAAAAUGUAAACAUCCCACUUAAUAAUUUAGUGGGAAGGUCUGUGACCCAUGUGUGCAAUACUGGGUGAUGAAUCAGAAUCAAACUGACUGCUCCCUGGGCAGUCCUAAAGCAAAGCUUCAACUGUGAUUGGUAAAUGUAAAAUUAGGAGAAGGCACAGGAAGUGACACAAAAGAAAAUGUCUUCAAAAGGGAGUUACAACUUCCAGUGAGAGGGAGAUCUUCAGAGAUCUUCUUCAGAGUUCUACUUGGAGUUGAACUUCCAGUUCAACUUCUGGUGAGAGAGAGUUCUUCAUUCUUUGGAGUGGAGAUUGAAGAAUGUGCUGACUGGACCUGAGACCCUGUUCCUGAUGAGACUGUCCUUGAAUCUCUUCCUUUGGACUUACACAUGGUGAGUGAAAAGGCUGACUCCUUUCUUGGAUUUUCUGAAGAGACUAGCCUCAGGAGAGACCUACCUCUUGAAAGAAACAUCCUCAGGGGAAAGUAUGGUCAUUCAACACAAUAGAAGAAUUCCAAGCAUUUGUAAAGAAAAGACCAGACUUGAAGAGAAAAUUUGAUGUCCAAGCACAGAACUCAAGAGAAUCAUCAAAAGGGUGUACUCACUGCCAAGCUGACAGAUGUUGCUGGAAAAACCUGUACCACUCUCAAGAAAGGCUAACCUUUCAAAGGGGAAAGAGAAGAAAAGGGGGGCAACCAAUCCAUUCAGUGAGAGGAUGACAUUAAACUGGACAGCAAACCACCCUUGGAGCACUGCACUUUUAAAAGGCUCUGUAUAAUAAAAUUGUUAAAGAUAACUGUACU